rnacentral:rRNA from 1 species
UGGGGAAUAUUGCACAAUGGGGGAAACCCUGAUGCAGCGACGCCGCGUGAGCGAUGAAGUAUUUCGGUAUGUAAAGCUCUAUCAGCAGGGAAGAAAAUGACGGUACCUGACUAAGAAGCACCGG